UAUUGAAUUAAAAUUUGGUUGGGUUGCUGCUGGUUCUCUGGAGCAUGUGCACGCUCAUUCCAUUUUUAACCACCUGUGCACCCAUUGUAGACCUGAAUGAAAUUUAUUUCGAGGAAACUCGGUUUGAGAACUGCUACCAAGCUGUUCUUGCAUUCAGGCUCUAUGUAUAUAACAUAUCCUCUGUAAUAAGUAAUUGAAUGUUAAUUUAUAGGCCUAUUGUGCCUUUAAACCUAAUACAACUUUCAACAACGGAUCUCUUGGCUCUCGCAUCGAUGAAGAACGCAGCGAAAUGCGAUAAGUAAUGUGAAUUGCAGAAUUCAGUGAAUCAUCGAAUCUUUGAACGCACCUUGCGCUCCUUGGUAUUCCGAGGAGCAUGCCUGUUUGAGUGUCAUGAAAUUCUCAACCUCUCUGGCUUUUUAUGAGCUAGUUAGGCUUGGAUUGUGGGAGUUGCUGGUUUUGUGAUCAGCUCUUCUUAAAUGUAUUAGCAGAAUUCUUGGCUAAAAUAUCUCUUUGGUAUGAUAAUUAUCUAUACCGUUGAGAUAUGGCUGCCAUUUCUAAGGUAUUCAGGCUCCGCUUGGUUGUGUCUAUCUUCCAAGUGUUCGAUUCAACCGUUUUGAAGCACUAGCUUUACAGUACAGAUGUUAACUCGUCUGAUGGUGUUGAAUAACUUCAGGUUGACGAAGCGAAGGCGUUCUUUGGAGCGCUCACGAGAGCAAGCAUACUUAAUUGUGUGCACUGUCAUAUUCCUGUACCUACCCUAGCUACUAUGUGGCUUUGGUGGGUCUGGUCAAACCAUGACCUGAACAUAUCCUUAUUAGUGGAAGAAUCUUGCUUCUAAUAUAUAUUUACUUCCUUACAGGAGUGAAUAACCUUUUGAUAAUUUG
rnacentral:misc_RNA from 1 species